UCUAUUUUUAUUAAAAAAUAGUGCUAUUUACCAACCUACUAAGAUUUCGUUUGAGAUUGCGUUACGUGCGGUGAGAAACGAUGAUGAAAAAAUAUCAUAUUUGUUUCCAUAAGUAAUAUUGCGUUUUGCAUAUUGCGGUUAGUUGGUUAAGAUAUAUUUUUUCCGGUCCCAUCGGAGAACACAGAAGUAUAUUCCUAUAUAUUUUUUCUUAACUCCAUUCUAUCUAAUAGUAUUUGACAAACCUCGAUACCAAACUAAGCCCAAGGUAUCGUUUGGGAUUGCGGAGAAAUUGUUUUACGUGCAGUGAAAAACGACAAUGGUAAAAUACCUUAUUUGUUUCCGUACGUAAUAUUGCGUUCUGCAUAUUGUCGUUAGUCCGUUACAAUAUAUUUUCUGCGUUUUCAUCGGAAAACACAGAAGUAUAUUCCUAUAUUCUUUUUCUCAACUCCAUUCCUAUCAAUACCAAACUAAGCCUAAUUUAGUUUAAAUCUUACGCUCCCAAUCCCCAUCCAGGCCAACAUUUUUUUAAAAAAAAUCUUAUCAAUUUUUUAAUAUUAAAAAUUUUGAAAACAGAACUUUAAAUUUUUAUAU
rnacentral:lncRNA from 1 species